CAUGGUCAGGGGUGAUGAAUCAAUUAGAUGUGUGAAUGAAAGUUUGUUUAAUGAGCUAAACUUUUUGAGGCAUAAUAAUACCUGACCUGCCUGCU